AUGUUACCAUUACAUAUCUGCAACUGCAGAAGAAGAUUUUCUUCUUCAUCAAUACCCAUACAUUGGUCCUUGUCAGAUCAGAAGGCGAAGAGCAGUGCAUCUCACCUCCCCACACUCUGUUCCAUCUAUGAGAGUGUGAUCAACAUGGAUUGCGUUGCCGGGAAGGGGGAAAUAAUAGUAGGUGGUGGCUGCGCCGCCGAGGAUGAGCAGGGCGUAGCCACCAACGUACUUGUGCGUACUUGUGGGGGUUGGUGUUGGAGGAGACGGGAGGACACAGACGUUGUGGUCGCAGUUGGGGCUGCUGAAGCAAGAAUACAGGGGAGGCAGUGA
rnacentral:rRNA from 1 species